rnacentral:lncRNA from 1 species
CCAAAUGCUUUUUGUUUUGUAAUGGAAAGAAGAGGCACACUCCCCACCCACAUAACAAUUGUGUGUUUCACAGCAGUUGCAUGACUCAAGAUUUGACGAGUGCAAUCGCAAAUUGCUCUUUUCCUUUUCUUAUCACUGGAGAGCAGAUCACUGGGUAGAUACGCUGUCGUUAUAAACCCUCAGCUCUGGGAGUGUUGUUAAUCUGCAGAGUCCUUGUGGAUUGCAUUUACUGUAAUGAAACCUUGAAGAGGUUGCAAUUUGUGCAAAAUGAAUCACAGCACCACAUCGGACUGUGAUGUCAACCCUCCGUGGCCUGUAGUUGGUGCUGGACUGCAACCAAAUGUCUGUGAGCCAUGCAAGAGCCAAGCUGAGACUUUCCUUCCACUGUUCAGAGGAAUGAUAUCACCCCACCUUUGGCUGCAUGCAUCACUUUUACUCAAGACUAGCAUCUCACAUGAUUCACAAGAGCAUAAGACAAGCUGGAGUCCGUACAUUGGGUGCUCAUACAUUGGAGCCCCUGGUGGACAAGGACCAGAAGCUUUCAACCUGCAAAUGAACACCUGUUCUGCUUAA